UCCUUAAAGACUAAGAAAACACUUGCCUCCCUUCCAGCUCCUUUUCCUGGUGCUCUGAGGAACAUUUCGGGAGCCUCCAGAACUGAAGAGGGGGCCAACUCUCUGGAGAAAAAUGAAUGGAUGUAGGCCCAAAGGAGCCGAAUGUUUUCCUUGGCUGAAUGGCAAGCAAGCACCAAGUGUCCACAGUUUCCGGAGUGUGGAUAUGAACAGCCGUCUUGGGUCCUGAGGUGGAAGCCAUGUGUGGAAGAUGGAGGGCAUCGGUUAGAAGGAGUCUAGUCCCUGAUGGUCACUGAGCUGCAGAACCAGCCUGGGCUGCUUCCUGCUGGAUGUCACUUACUAGAGAGCGAAAUUAAAUGUGCUUCAGCUACUGUUA
rnacentral:lncRNA from 1 species